rnacentral:rRNA from 1 species
GGUACAUCGGUGACAGGUGGUGGCAUGGUUGUCGUCAGCUCGUGUCGUGAGAUGUUGGUUAAGUCCCGCAACGAGCGCAACCCCUAUUGUUAGUUGCCAUCAUUCAGUUGGGCACUCUAGCGAGACUGCCGGUAAUAAACCGGAGGGAAGGUGGGGAUGACGUCAAAUCAUCAUGCCCCUUAUGACCUGGGCUACACACGUGCUACAAUGGUUGGUACAACGAGUUGCGAGUCGGUGACGGCGAGCUAAUCUCUUAAAGCCAAUCUCAGUUCGGAUUGUAGGCUGCAACUCGCCUACAUGAAGUCGGAAUCGCUAGUAAUCGCGGAUCAGCACGCCGCGGUGAAUACGUUCCCGGGCCUU